rnacentral:lncRNA from 1 species
AAUCGAUUGGUUUAAUUUUACAAGGUAUAAUUGUUAGCUAUGGAAUCUAAUAUAUACAAAAUCAAUAUACUGUAUCUUUUGUUUUUAAAAUAUCUUGGGAAUUUUGUUUGUCCUUCGUUAAUAUGCAGACAACACGCUAGCAAUGUAUGCUUCACUAGAACGAAUGGGAGGAGUUUCAGUUCUUUACCAGAUAUUCUCGUAUCGCUCCGCUACCCGAACGUAAAUUUAAAAAGAAAAAAAUUAUAAAUUCCGAACAGCAUAAUUCGUUGAAUGUAAAACAAAUUUUCUUCUUGCUGCUAGC